UUAGUACUCCCUCCGUCCCAAAAUUCUUGUCUUAGAUUUGACUACGUACGGAUGUAUCUAUUCACAUUUUAGUGUUAGAUACAUCCGUAUCUAGAUAAAUCCACAAGACAAGAAUUUUGGCCGUAUGUACUAGCAC
rnacentral:pre_miRNA from 1 species